rnacentral:rRNA from 1 species
AUGCAUGCGCAGCUACACAUGCAGUCGAGCGGAUGAGUGGAGCUUGCUCCAUGAUUCAGCGGCGGACGGGUGAGUAAUGCCUAGGAAUCUGCCUGGUAGUGGGGGACAACGUUUCGAAAGGAACGCUAAUACCGCAUACGUCCUACGGGAGAAAGUGGGGGAUCUUCGGACCUCACGCUAUCAGAUGAGCCUAGGUCGGAUUAGCUAGUUGGUGAGGUAAAGGCUCACCAAGGCGACGAUCCGUAACUGGUCUGAGAGGAUGAUCAGUCACACUGGAACUGAGACACGGUCCAGACUCCUACGGGAGGCAGCAGUGGGGAAUAUUGGACAAUGGGCGAAAGCCUGAUCCAGCCAUGCCGCGUGUGUGAAGAAGGUCUUCGGAUUGUAAAGCACUUUAAGUUGGGAGGAAGGGCAGUAAGUUAAUACCUUGCUGUUUUGACGUUACCAACAGAAUAAGCACCGGCUAACUUCGUGCCAGCAGCCGCGGUAAUACGAAGGGUGCAAGCGUUAAUCGGAAUUACUGGGCGUAAAGCGCGCGUAGGUGGUUCGUUAAGUUGGAUGUGAAAGCCCCGGGCUCAACCUGGGAACUGCAUCCAAAACUGGCGAGCUAGAGUAUGGCAGAGGGUGGUGGAAUUUCCUGUGUAGCGGUGAAAUGCGUAGAUAUAGGAAGGAACACCAGUGGCGAAGGCGACCACCUGGGCUAAUACUGACACUGAGGUGCGAAAGCGUGGGGAGCAAACAGGAUUAGAUACCCUGGUAGUCCACGCCGUAAACGAUGUCGACUAGCCGUUGGGAUCCUUGAGAUCUUAGUGGCGCAGCUAACGCAUUAAGUCGACCGCCUGGGGAGUACGGCCGCAAGGUUAAGACUCAAAUGAAUUGACGGGGGCCCGCACAAGCGGUGGAGCAUGUGGUUUUAUUCAAAGCAACGCGAAAAACUUACCAGGCCUUGACUUGCAAAGAACUUUCCAAAAAAGAAUGGUGCCUUCGGGACUCUGAACAAGUGCUGCAUGGCUGUCGUCAGUUCUGUCCUGGAAUGUUCGGUUAAUUUCCGUAACGAGGCAAACCUUGUUCUUAGUACCAGCAGGUCAGGUGGGGACUUUAGGGAACUGCGGUGACAACCGGAGGAGGUGGGGAUACGUGAGUUACAUGUUCUUAGGGCUGGGUAACCUGGCUCCAAGGACGGUCAAAGGUUGCAAGCCGGGGUGGACCUAACCGUAAAACAAUCUAACCA